GGGUUUCAAGAUCUGAAAUUUUACAAGAAAGUAAAUUUUCUUCUUUCACUUUCUUCUUCAUGGGAUCUCACAGUGGCACCCCUACAUGCCAUGAAGAGCACUCCAUUGAAUGGAAAGAGAGGGUCAUAAAACCCUACUUGCUCCUAUAACCGAACGGCCUGGUGAUUACCCAAUCCGAGUACUUUGCUACUCAGAACUCUAAUCUAAAUAGAUAAUAAUC
rnacentral:lncRNA from 1 species